rnacentral:rRNA from 1 species
UACGGAGGGUGCAAGCGUUAUCCGGAUUUACUGGGUUUAAAGGGUGCGCAGGCGGAUAUGUAAGUCAGUGGUGAAAAUCUUUUGGGCUUAACCCGAAAAAUUGCCAUUGAUACUAUAUAUCUUGAAUGCUGUGGAGGUAAGCGGAAUAUGUCAUGUAGCGGUGAAAAUGCUUAGAUAUGACAUAGAACACCUAUUGCGAAGGCAGCUUACUACGCAGAGAUUGACGCUCAUGCACGAAAGCGUGGGGAUCAAACAGG